rnacentral:rRNA from 1 species
GUAGGGUGCAAGCGUUAAUCGGAAUUACUGGGCGUAAAGCGUGCGCAGGCGGUUAUGUAAGACAGAGGUGAAAUCCCCGGGCUCAACCUGGGAACGGCCUUUGUGACUGCAUAGCUAGAGUACGGUAGAGGGGGAUGGAAUUCCGCGUGUAGCAGUGAAAUGCGUAGAUAUGCGGAGGAACACCGAUGGCGAAGGCAAUCCCCUGGACCUGUACUGACGCUCAUGCACGAAAGCGUGGGGAGCAAACAGGAUUAGAUACCCUGGUAGUCCACGCCCUAAACGAUGUCAACUGGUUGUUGGGAAUUAACUUUCUCAGUAACGAAGCUAACGCGUGAAGUUGACCGCCUGGGGAGUACGGCCGCAAGGUUG